rnacentral:lncRNA from 1 species
UGUUCACUAAGUGUUUUAGAACUAAGUAUUCACCAGAUGUUUUGAAUUAAUUGUUCACUAGGAGUGUUAGAACUAGGUGUUUGUUAAGUAUGUCGAACUAAGUGUUUACCAUUCGUAAUUUGUGGACGUUGGUAGUGGUGGACUUUGUGUCAAUUCCUUAGGUCAAUCCUUAGGAAUAAAUGGAUAAAUGACAGUUGAUUCUUAGGGUAAAUCCUUAAGAAAUAAAGGAGAUAAUGGGAAUGAGUAUUUGGGUUGAUUGUUUGAUAAUUGAAUAUAAUAAUUGUAUUAUUGUGGGUUGAAAACCCUAUAUGCUCACCAGGCUCCCAAGCCUGACCCACUCAGUUUUCUUUGCAUUAUAGGUAAUGGCACAAGGGUAUAAGUUGAUGGACUUGACGAGAGAUUUUGGAUUAUAGAUAAGUAGUUAUAAAUAACUGUUGUAAGGUCUAUUUUAUAUUGUUUAUGCUUUUGGUCUGUAUUGGAACAUGACAUGCCGAGGUUUUAUUAUUUAAUGAAAAUACAUUCUCUUUGAGAAACGUUUUGAUAAAUUUUAUCAUAUUUUGUUUUCGGAACAAAUUCCACAACUCUUUUAAUCAAAAGGAUUUGCUCUGAUUUUAUAAAACAAAACAUAAACAAAUCGGUCUUUUCUGGCCGUGAAAUUGGGGAUGUCACAGUUGGUAUCAGAGCCUGAGUUUAAGCGAACUAGGAAUUUGUAGGAAAUUUCUAGACUUAGACUUAGAAUGCUAAGUAAUGAUUGUGAGGAGUGCGUCUAAAAUAUGAUAGGUAGUUCACCUAAAUUGACACAAGCACUAGUUUAUUUUAGGAAUGAUGCCUAAAAUGCUUUUAUGUGCUAAUUGUUUUGUGUGAUAGCUAAAUUGAUGCUAUUAUUUGUUCGGAUCUAUGGAAUCAUUAUGAAAGCCCUAUUUCGUUGAUGAUUCCGGGACGUAAUCAUCCUAAGGGGGAGAUAAUUGUAAAGCCCGUAGACCCGGGCUAGUCAAUUUAGAGACAAUAAGCAUCAAAAAUGACUUUUUGAUGGAAGAUUACUUAGAAGGAUUAAUCUUAACCAAGUUGUAGUAUAUUUCACAAGGUUUCCGUGCAUAUAAAGAACACCAAAAUCUGAGUUAUAACGAAGAAGUUAUGACAUGUCGAAGUUUCGCGACAGAACCAGCACGACCUAGCGCGACCCAACGACGUAAAUAGUGAAUUUAAGGUAGAUAGAUAUUUAUCCUUAGUGAUCUAAACGAGAGUCGAAGAUGUCUUCGAUAGUAGUCCAACGAUAAAAAGAUAGACGAAAACGGAGUUCAGAUGAAGGAGUUAUGAAUUUCGAACGGAGUUUUCCCGUCCCGGCCUACAAAAGAUAAUAUAUAAGUAAUAUAUUUAUAAUAUAUUAAAAAUAAAUCAAAAUUAUCCAAUGGAGUCUAAAAGAGAGUUGUAGAGAAUAAUCUCACCUACGCGUCGAUAUAAAAAACGUCGAAAACGGAGUUCUUAUGGGAAAGUUAUGAAUUUCUGAAGUUUGGGCGCGAAACCCCAAAACUGUCAGAUACCACGAUGUGGCAAGCAGUGCCACGACGUGGCAAGUCUUCUAACACCUCCGGGAGUCCCCCAGAUGCAACUUGCAAUGACGCAUUCAGUGACGAUCAAGCCCACGACGUGGAAAAAGGUGGCACGACGUGGCAAUGGCAGAUUUUGCCCUAUAAAUAGAUUUGAAGGGCCAUCCGUUUAGGGUUGCUAUUUUCUCUUCUCUCUCUCCCGUUUUACCUCGAUUUACAUGAAAAGAAGUACCCACGAAACCCCGGUAUCAACCACGAGACCCGAAGCAAGUACCGAAGCCCGAAGAUCCAGAGAAGAAAAGAGUUUCCAAGCCGAAGCUCUACCCGCGAGAAGCCCAGUGUGCGAAGUGAUCCCGGUUUCACCGAAUAAUACUACUCUUAGAGCUGUAGUGCUGUCUGAGCAUCGUCUAACCAAGUGAGUGUGUGGUUACUUUCUUCUAACGCAUAAAUACGAAGUAUUUUAUACGAAAUACGUGUUAUGUGUAUAUUUUGUUGUUAUAUGUGUGAAUGUAUAUUCACUUUCUUCUACCGCAUAGAUAUAAAGUAUUUGCUAUGAAGUACGUGCUAGGUGUUUAUACAUUCUUUGUUUACUUGAGCUAGAUGUUGAAAUAAUGUUUUAUACAUGUUUUAAAAGAUUUAAACUGAAUAUGUGUUUGCAUCUACAAAUAUGUUGGGUAGAACAUGGGUAGAUGAAAUAGUUGAUGUGAGACGAAAUAAUAAGUAUUUUUGAACUCAAUGUGUUCAUUAGGUAUUUUUGAACUCUAUGUGUUCACUUGGCGUUUGAAAUCAAUGUGUUCAUUAGGAAUUUCUGAACUCUAUGUGUUCACUUGUUGUUUGAACUCAAUGUGUUCAUUAGGUAUUUUUGAACUCUAUGUGUUCACUUGGUGUUUGAACUCAAUGUGUUCAUUAGGUAUUUCCGAACUCUAUGUGUUCACUUGGUAUUUUUGGACUCAAUGUGUUCAUUAAGUAUUUUUGAACUAGAUGUGUUCACUUGGUGUUGUUGAACUGAGUGUGUUCACUAAGUGUUUUAGAACUAAGUAUUCACCAGAUGUUUUGAAUUAAUUGUUCACUAGGAGUGUUAGAACUAGGUGUUUGUUAAGUAUGUUGAACUAAGUGUUUACCAAUCGUAAUUUGUGGACCUUGGCAGUGGUGGACUUUGUGUCAAUUCCUUAGGUCAAUCCUUAGGAAUAAAUGGAUAAAGGAUAGUUGAUUCUUAUAGUAAAUCCUUAAGAAAUAAAGGAGAUAAUGGGAAUGAGUAUUUGGGUUGAUUGUUUGAUAAUUGAAUAUAAUAAAUGUAUUAUUGUGGGUUGAAAACC